GUAUACGGCCAUACCACCCUGAAUGUGCCCCAUCUCAUCUGAUCUAGGAAGCUAAGUAAGGUCGGGCCUGGUUAGUACUUGGAUGGGAAAUACAAGGGCCUAAAGUC
rfam:Fukomys damarensis contig141564, whole genome shotgun sequence.